UAGGUGCACAAAGUCUGAGGUUUUGUC
rnacentral:piRNA from 1 species